GAACAGAAAGUGCAACAACUUCCGUUUAUACAGUCAUUUCCCAUAAGCCAGGGUUCAGGUCAAGGUUUCUCACCGUAUAGAAUAGCGCCUGUGUUGAAGCGCUUCGUAAAGCCCACGUGUGUCUACAACUGGCGUUCAGCCAUCAUCAAAACCACACACGCACACACUAACACACACACAGUCUCUGAGAGUCUCAGAGACUCUCUCUCUCUCCCUCCUUCUCUCUCUCCCCGGUCUCUCUCUCUCUCUCUCUCCUUUGUCUCUCUCUCUCUCCUUUGUCUCAAUCUCUCUCUCCUUUGUCUCUAUUGCCUCCUCUCUCUCUCUUUCUCUCUCUCUCUCUCUCUCUCUCUCUCUCUCUCUCUCUCUCUCUCUCUCUCUCUCUCUCUCUCUCUCUCUCUUGUCUUUCUUUCCCUCUCUCUCUCUGUUGUCUCUCUUUCUCUCCUUUGUCUCUCUUUCACUCAAACACCUCUCUCUCUCCUCCAUCUCUCUCCCCUGUCUCUCCCAUUCUCUCUUCAGACAAACAUGUCCUCAACAGACAUAAGCUCAGUCAAGGCCCAGUUGGACAGGUUGUGGAAGCAGAGAGAAGAGCUUAUCUCCAUCUAUAACAAAUGGGCCGAUCAGUACAAAGUCACGACAAGGUCAGAGAGUAACACCCUUCAGCCAAAACCAACAAGUGACUAAAUUAAGACAUUAAUCAGGCUCGACUCCUCCCAGACCCACUAGUCGCUGAGUCUCUGAGUCGCUGUUCGUUCACUGACUGUGGUGAAGAGGGACCGACUGAGAGAUGUCACGGCUCACGGGAGCCGGCCAGCUGUAUGUUGCUCUAGGACUGAGUCUAGGACACUCUUGUCAAAUUUUUGCCAAUGAGAGACAGGAAUACAGCGCUUUCUUGGAAAACAAAACAAAUGGGCUUAUGCUGCAUUUUAUUAUCCAUCCGUCUCGGAGGUCCGAGGACGUUGCCUAGCGACACGCACGAACACGCCCCUCAGUGGUGACCUAGCAAAAUUCCGAGACAGAAUUCAAGAUGGCUGCGCCCAGUGUGACUUGAAGCAUGAACUGUUUUCAUUGUGCUUGGGCCGCUUUGGUGGUUUAACCGGGUGGCAUCAAUGUUUUCCUCCAACGACCGAGCGAAAUAAUAAAAAGUGUGGGCGUGGCGUCAGAUCCGAGAUCCGAGUCGGUUCGCAGAGAAUACUCAAAGGCAUGAGCGUACGAUAAUACGAUUACAUAUCAGUGAAAUGGUAAAUGCAUGCUGUCUUUGUGUUUUCUGUGUCAUGCCAGAUUGAUAAAAUUGGCCUAUUUGAAUGUCUCGUCAAUCUGUCUCGUUCUUUCAUAGUUCGUUCUCACACACGCAACCCGGGACCCCCACCUUGCUGGAUCUUGAUCGAUUCUUGAUUGGGGGUGGCCAUCUUGACAAAAGUGUUAAGUUACUGUUAACCCAAGAAAAAUCAAAUAUGCCCAGAAUAAAUACAACUGCACAUUAUUUACUUUUAAACUCCAUCAUUGCUAAAUCAAGUCUAUUAUCUUGGUGAUAUGUUAAACAUCCAAUAAUCAACUACACCCCCCCAUCCCGCUGCGUUUGGUUUGUUAAGUCCUCAGCUGAAAGGAACUUAGUUGUAUUAAAAAUAAGUCCCUGUGCACAGCCUUUUGAUCCUCAGGUGCUGUUUAUAUGCAGUCAACAACGACAUAUAAAGUCAAAGAAGUGUAAAAUCACCGCACACUGAAAUAUACAUUGAUAAGCUGAUUUAUUUUGUGAAGGAUUCGUUUUGCUGUUGCUUCGUCAGGUUCACUCUUCAAAUUCACAUGACACCGACAGGUGAUUUAGAUGAUUCACAGGUUCACAUGACCUCACCAAUUAGUGCAAGGCACCACCAUAUGAACUUAGCUGUAUGUUGUGUUGAUUGAUGACGACUUGCACGAUCGUUUGAGAAUGAGAACGAGGGAGGAGCUUAGUCUGACCGACUCAGCUGAGAACCGUGCAUUCCGUGAUUCGAUUUACGCCACCGGAAACGCGACUGGACGAACAAACGAUUCUGAACGAUUCUUCUUGGCGAACUGACCGACGGAAACUGAAUCUAGGUAAAGAAUCAUGAAAUCCUUCACUAGUUCCGAAACAUUUUUUAUUGAAUCUGGCACCUCCUGUGUCGCUAUGAAGAAUGAAUCGCCUAAAUGAAAAAUAUAUAUUACUUUUUGUGUAAUGUUGUUAGCUGCUGUUAAUCUUUAUUCCCCAUUGUUCCACAAAAAUCUUGUGUUUGCAUUUUUCGAUACGUUUGGUGAAUUUUUAGGGGGAGAGUGGCGGAGAGAGGCGAUCGAGGCGCAUCAAGUGACGCAUAGCCUACACUUUUGCUGGUUGAGAUCGCUGUUAACGCCUAGCCUCGUUUCACUCAGGGGGAAAAGGUCAAGAAGACAACAAACUUAAGUUUGCUUAACUUUUCAAAUACACUGGCCAGUCGGAUCACAAACAAGCAAAAAUCGUUUCCGCCGAUCAAGAAUGUGGGGACCACGGUGAACACAGCAUUAUUACGCGUGUGAGAGGGUCUUUAACCAGAUUAAUUUAAUCUGUAGGACAAAUCUGAUCUGUGCAGCAAACAGGGCUUCUUCUCUCCCCCCUACCAUCUCCUCCCUACUCUUCCUUUGCCUUGUCGGUCCGCCGCUUACCCGGUUCAAUCCCUUUCCAUACGUGAAGUCAGUGUGCGUGUGGAGCCUUUGUCCGCGUGCGUGUGGAGCCUUUGUGUGUGCGUGUGGAGCCUGUGUCCGCGUGCGUGUGGAGCCUGUGGGUGUGCGUUGGGAGCCUGUGUCCGCGCGCGUGUGGAGCCUGUGUCCGCGCGCGUGUGGAGCGUGUGUCCGCGCGCGUGUAGCGUGUGUCCGCGCGCGUGUGGAGCGUGUGUCCGCGACACAUGCGUGUCGAACCUGUGUCCGCGUGCGUGUGGAGCCUGUGUCCACGUGAGGUGGAGCCCAGCUGUGUCCACGUGAGGUGGAGCCUGUAUCCACGUGCGUGCGGAGCCUUUCUGCUCGGUGAAUUUCACCGUCUUCUCCAGGAGCUCCGUCUGGAUGACUGCCGCUUCCAACGCUGACUCCGGCCCAGUUUGAUGACCUGCUAGCUAGGAUCGGUGCCGGAAUUUCUCGGUUGGACACUAACUACAGGCGUUCCAUCUCAGCUUCGAAUCGAAAGAUAAACAGUCUACUUCAGGCUCACCCAGAAGCCGUUUCCAUGGUAGACAGCGCCAUGUAGUGGACAAAGCAGAUAACAGAUUAUAAUGUUUGAUAUCCUUUGCCGACAAUAGUAUAGGAAGUCAAAUAGGCCUACAAUAAAUAUAUAAAUUAUAUUGAUAAAUUAUGACUCCUGCCUUUGUAAAUUGGGGUUUGUUAUAAAUAAACGUGGCAAAAUUAUUGUAAAUGUAGGAUUUUUACACCUAUAGUAUCUUCACUACAACAUUUCAUUAUCUUAAACUAAUUUAGCAUUCAGGCUAAUUUUAUAUAGCAUCCUGACUGUUAAUUCCUAUAAUGAGAUGUUGUAUUUUCAUUUCUCAGUUUCACCCUACUUCAACACACCAUAAAGAGUAAACUGGAACGUGUCGUCUGCGUGGUUUGUUGGAGAGGAGUU
rnacentral:lncRNA from 1 species